UAAACGCAUCUUCUCAUAAUUUUCGGAGGAGUUCCAGCCUGCGACAUCCGUGUCCAACGUACCCCAGCCGGCCGCUAUUGUGAACAAAUUAUGUGAACUGAGCAAAAUUGAUAUCGGUGCAGAAGUAUCCAAAUUGCUUUCUACUCUGAAGGCUCAGAGCUCCGCGACUAACAAGACGCAAGCAAACUCGAAUCAAGACGCGUCGAAAGCUAAAUUGGCGCAAGAUCCGAAAACGGAUAGCGAGACGUCGUCGAGGCCGAGGCGAUCACCAGAAAUUGUAAUUUAUUGCAAAAUAAACGCAUCUCAUAAUUUUCGAAAUGGAUGAUUUCGAUUUGUUGUUAAUUUCUCUGGUCAACAUGGGAGCACUUUUGGUGCAACGUCGUCGAAACCGUGAACGUCAUCGUCGCCGCCGCGCCGUCGGCGUGUCUGGGUACGACCAAUUAACACAAGGAGAAGACAGCAAGGAGCGUUUUACAAUCUUUUUCAGGAGAUGAAAACAGAUGAGCAAAUGUUCCACAAGUAUACACGUAUGACACUGCCAACAUUCCAGCACUUGAUGGACAUUGUUAAUCCAAGUUUAAUGAAACGAAGUCCACGGGCACUUGAACCAGAGCAAAGAGUUGCUUUUACAUUGCGAUUUCUGAUUGGAGGCAAAGUUCCAGCAGUUGCUUUUGCCUAUCGUGUUGGUUUAUCAACAGUACAUAAAAUAAUUAAAGAGACGUGUGACGUAUUUGAAAGACUUUCUUGGUCCUAUCUAUCAACGAACUCCUUCAAGAGAAGAAUAUUUACAAAUUGCUGAGGGUUUUUGGACAUUAUGGAAUUUUCCACAUUGCUUGGGGGCAAUUGAUGGAAAACGUGUCAAUGCUCAAUGCCCCCCUAAUUCUGGUACGCUGUACUUUAAUUAUCACAUACGAUACAGCAUCGUACUUUUGGCUGUGUGUGAUCACAAUUAUCAAUUCACUUUGGUGGAUAUUGGGUCAAUAGGGAAGAACAGUGAUGCGGGAAUUUAUGGGAACAGCUACUUGAAUGUGACAAAUGAGAUGCUGGAUAUUCCAGAAGGAACCAGUUGCUUAAGCGGAACCGAUAUACAAGUGCCUUAUUUUUUUAUUGGGGAUGAAGCAUUCCCCAUUGGAAAGCAUUUGAUGCGGCCAUAUGCUGGACGGUAUUUGGGGGAACGCAAAAACAUAUUUAAUUAUAGACUUUCGCGAGCCCGGCGUAUAAUAGAAAAUACAUUUGGGAUUUUGGCAAAAAAGUGGGGUAUAUAUAACAGACCGAUCGCUGCGAUUCCUGAAAAUAUCAAUAAAUAUAUUUUGGCAACUGUAUGUUUGCACAAUUUCUUAAGAAACAAAGAAGGUAAUAUUUUACAAUUUGAAAACAAUGAUGAAAUUAUUGAAAAUAACGAAAAUAGUGCAUUUGCGACGCACAUUAAAGACUCUUUGCAAUUAUUUUAUGACUCCAAAUGGAAUGGUCAAUUAGCAGCAUGAUCAUGUAACAAGAGGACAAAAUCAAGACUUUAUCUACACAUAAACAUUUGAUCGAUUGAUUACACACGUAUCAUAUUGUGAAAUGUAAUGCUAAUAUGUAUUUAUUAUGUGAAUAUAAAAUAAAUAGUACAAAAUUUCUUUAA